rnacentral:rRNA from 1 species
GUGAGGAAUUUUCCGCAAUGGGCGAAAGCCUGACGGAGCAAUGCCGCGUGAAGGAUGAAGGCCUAUGGGUUGUAAACUUCUUUUCUCAGAAAAGAAUUAUGACGGUAUCUGAGGAAUAAGCAUCGGCUAACUCUGUGCCAGCAGCCGCGGUAAGACAGAGGAUGCAAGCGUUAUCCGGAAUGAUUGGGCGUAAAGCGUCUGUAGGUUGUUUAAAAAGUAUUCUGUCAAAGAUUAGGGCUUAACCCUAGAUAGGCAGAAUAAACUUUUAAGCUAGAGUUUGGUAGAGGCAGAGGGAAUUCCCGGUGGAGCGGUGAAAUGCGUAGAUAUCUGGAGGAACACCAAAGGCGAAGGCACUCUGCUGGGCCAAUACUAACACUGAGAGACGAAAGCGAGGGGAGCAAAUGGGAUUAGAUACCCCUGUAGUCC